GUUACUUUGGCAGAGUGUUAUGUAUUAGAUUUAGGAUCUAAUUAGAUAGGGUGUCCUAUAGGUAAUA
rnacentral:tRNA from 1 species